rnacentral:rRNA from 1 species
GACGAACGCUGGCGGCGUGCCUAACACAUGCAAGUCGAGCGAUGAAGUUCUCUUCGGAGAAUGGAUUAGCGGCGGACGGGUGAGUAACACGUGGGUAACCUGCCUUAUAGAGGGGGAUAGCCUUUCGAAAGGAAGAUUAAUACCGCAUAACAUUGCGCUACCGCAUGAUAGUGCAAUUAAAGGAGUAAUCCGCUAUAAGAUGGACCCGCGUCGCAUUAGCUAGUUGGUGAGGUAACGGCUCACCAAGGCGACGAUGCGUAGCCGACCUGAGAGGGUGAUCGGCCACAUUGGAACUGAGACACGGUCCAGACUCCUACGGGAGGCAGCAGUGGGGAAUAUUGCACAAUGGGGGAAACCCUGAUGCAGCAACGCCGCGUGAGUGAUGACGG